ACCGUACUCCUACGGGAGGCAGCAGUGGGGAAUUUUGGACAAUGGGGGCAACCCUGAUCCAGCAAUGCCGCGUGAGUGAAGAAGGCCUUCGGGUUGUAAAGCUCUUUUGUCAGGGAAGAAACGGUAGUAGCUAAUAUCUAUUGCUAAUGACGGUACCUGAAGAAUAAGCACCGGCUAACUACGUGCCAGCAGCCGCGGUAAUACGUAGGGUGCAAGCGUUAAUCGGAAUUACUGGGCGUAAAGCGUGCGCAGGCGGUUGUGUAAGUCAGAUGUGAAAUCCCCGGGCUCAACCUGGGAAUUGCAUUUGAGACUGCACGGCUAGAGUGUGUCAGAGGGGGGUAGAAUUCCGCGUGUAGCGGUGGAAUGCGUAGAUAUGUGGAGGAAUACCGAUGGCGAAGGCAGCCCCCUGGGAUAACACUGACGCUCAUGCACGAAAGCGUGGGGAGCAAACAGGAUUAGAUCCCCCAGUAGUCCUUGAC
rnacentral:rRNA from 1 species